CUUUCUCUCUCAAUGCUCACACAUCUCACAAAAAGGGAUGCCAAAAGCAGGGAAGUACAAUCUACAGGAAAAAGCAACACUUUACUUUUGUGUGAAAGACAGCUUGCUUGCUGCAGUCUCUAUAAUAUAUCAACACUCUUCCAUACACUGUUUGAAAGACAGCACUGCUAGCUUCAGUCUCUAUAAAUAAUCCAGAGAUAUCUACACUCUACUCACACUUUACAAACUCUCAACUACACUCAACUGAAAUUAAUAUAUCAACUCUUUGCAUUCGGAUUUUGCGUUGUUUCUCGGCUCUCACAUCAAGGUUUUAAAAUUUUUGUCGGCUUUUCACAUCUCCCUCUUGCAUUGUUGUAAGUUCUUUCAAAUAUGACAUAGUGAAAGGAUAAAUUGUUUUUGUAGUUUUGAUUUUACUUUGUUCUGUUAUAUUUUGAUCUUUUCCUUCA